UGGGGCAUUCAGGACAGGCUGCUGUUCUAAUUACAACCAUGCUUUUCACCUAGACCCACCACUGGCUGAAGCAGCAACUUAUACAAGUGACAUGACGUCAUUUCUGUUUCUCCUAUUUCUUGUCAUGACAAGUUAAAGUCACAGAAGUGGAAAUACUGGGUCAUAAGGUCUGUAAUCUUGCCCUGCAAAAUCCCUCUGCAAUGACCCAGAAGGUGAUGGGUAAGA